rnacentral:rRNA from 1 species
AAUCAACGCUGGCGGCGUGCCUAACACAUGCAAGUCGAACGCGAAAGCCCUUUCGGGGGUAAGUAGAGUGGCGUCCGGGUGAGUAACACGUAGGUAAUCUGCCUUCGGGUGGGGAAUAACCAGUCGAAAGAUUGGCUAAUACCGCAUAAUGCAGCGGCACCUAAUGGUGAUUAGUUGUUAAAGCGGGGGAUCGUAAGACCUCGCGCCUGAAGAGGAGCCUGCGGCAGAUUAGCUAGNGGUGAGGUAAUGGCUCACCAAGGCUUCGAUCUGUAGCUGGUCUGAGAGGACGGCCAGCCACACUGGCACUGACACACGGGCCAGACUCCUACGGGAGGCAGCAGUGGGGAAUUUUGGGCAAUGGGCGAAAGCCUGACCCAGCAACGCCGCGUGAGGGAGGAAAUCCUUCGGGAUGUAAACCUCACAAGCAAGGGAAGAGAGCUCAGGGCCGAACAAGCUUUGAGUCCGACGGUACCUUGCGUAAGCCACGGCUAACUACGUGCCAGC